UACGUAGGGUGCAAGCGUUGUCCGGAAUCAUUGGGCGUAAAGCGCGCGUAGGUGGCUUCGUAAGUCCGUUGUGAAAGUCAAAGGCUCAACCUUUGAAUGCCGAUGGAUACUGCGAAGCUAGAGUACGGAAGAGGCGAGUGGAAUUCCUGGUGUAGCGGUGGAAUGCGCAGAUAUCAGGAGGAACACCAAUAGCGAAGGCAGCUCGCUGGGACGGUACUGACGCUGAGACGCGAAAGCUAGGGGAGCGAACGGG
rnacentral:rRNA from 1 species